CCAAAUCGAAUAUGCGUACCGUAGACAGUAGGUGCCGCAAGGCUUAAUGUCCUACCGAGGUGCUAUGAAUAGACGCGAUCGCCGGACCGUUCGGAACCGGCGGCGCGAGUCAUGGCCUCCGCUGUCUGCGGAGGCCAUGUUCAUGCAUCGGG
rfam:Thermobacillus composti KWC4, complete genome.